CACGUAGGGCGCAAGCGUUGUCCGGAAUUAUUGGGCGUAAAGCGCGCGCAGGCGGUCCUUUAAGUCUGAUGUGAAAGUCCACGGCUCAACCGUGGAGGGUCAUUGGAAACUGGGGGACUUGAGUGCAGAAGAGGAAAGCGGAAUUCCACGUGUAGCGGUGAAAUGCGUAGAGAUGUGGAGGAACACCAGUGGCGAAGGCGGCUUUCUGGUCUGUAACUGACGCUGAGGCGCGAAAGCGUGGGGAGCAAACAGG
rnacentral:rRNA from 1 species